rnacentral:rRNA from 1 species
UACGUAGGGUGCGAGCGUUGUCCGGAAUUAUUGGGCGUAAAGAGCUCGUAGGCGGUCUGUCGCGUCGGUCGUGAAAACUUGGGGCUUAACCCUGAGCUUGCGGUCGAUACGGGCUGACUAGAGUUCGGCAGGGGAGACUGGAAUUCCUGGUGUAGCGGUGAAAUGCGCAGAUAUCAGGAGGAACACCGGUGGCGAAGGCGGGUCUCUGGGCCGAUACUGACGCUGAGGAGCGAAAGCGUGGGGAGCAAACAGG